ncrna:unclassified sequences pemK RNA
ACAAUGAUACUUCCGUAAUUCGCGGCCCGGUCAUAAUGCAGGCGGGGUGGUUAGAUUCCAAUGA